AAAAUAUGAUGAGGGCAUUUUCUUAGCAACUUCUUAAAUCUCUCCUAACUUUAAUAAAUUGAUUCUAUUUCAAACUGGGAAAAAGUAUUGAUAUCAUUUCUAAGUAU